rnacentral:rRNA from 1 species
GUGGGGAAUAUUGCGCUAAUGCGGGAAACCGUGACGCAGCGACGCCGCGUGAGGGAAGAAGGCCUUCGGGUUGUAAACCUCUUUCAGGAGGGAAGAAGCUACUCGGGUUAAUAGCCCAGAGGGUGACGGUACCUUCAGAAGAAGCCCCGGCUAACUACGUGCCAGCAGCCGCGGUAAUACGUAGGGGGCAAGCGUUGUCCGGAUUCAUUGGGCGUAAAGAGCGUGUAGGCGGUUAGGUAGGUCAGUUGUGAAAACUGGAGGCUCAACCUUCAGACGUCGACUGAAACCCCCUGGCUAGAGUCCGGGAGAGGAGAGUGGAAUUCCUGGUGUAGCGGUGGAAUGCGCAGAUAUCAGGAAGAACACCCGUGGCGAAAGCGGCUCUCUGGAACGGUACUGACGCUGAGACGCGAAAGCGUGGGGAGCGAACAGGAUUAGAUACCCUUGUAGUCC